ACAUCCAGCGAACUUGGCAGAGAUGCCUUGGUGCCUUCGGGAACGCUGAGACAGGUGCUGCAUGGCUGUCGUCAGCUCGUGUUGUGAAAUGUUGGGUUAAGUCCCGNAACGAGCGCAACCCUUUAUCCUUUGUUGCCAGCGAUUCGGUCGGGAACUCAAAGGAGACUGCCGGUGAUAAACCGGAGGAAGGUGGGGAUGACGUCAAGUCAUCAUGGCCCUUACGAGUAGGGCUACACACGUGCUACAAUGGCGCAUACAAAGAGAAGCGACCUCGCGAGAGCAAGCGGACCUCAUAAAGUGCGUCGUAGUCCGGAUCGGAGUCUGCAACUCGACUCCGUGAAGUCGGAAUCGCUAGUAGUCGUGGAUCAGAAUGCCACGGUGAAUACGUUCCCGGGCCUUGUACACACCGCCCGUCACACCAUGGGAGUGGGUUGCAAAAGAAGUAGGUAGCUUAACCCUCGGGAGGGCGCUUACCACUUUGUGAUUCAUGACUGGGGUGAAGUCGUAACAAGGUAAGCGUAGCGAG
rnacentral:rRNA from 1 species